rnacentral:lncRNA from 1 species
AAAAGAUCAAAAAUAACAAGCUCCAAUGAGGUACUCCUUGCUGGGUGCUUCUUCAUCAUGGGACUUGCUGGGUGCUUCGACACUUGAACAAAGGACAUCUACAGCUUAUAAAUAGAACAAUUAGGAACAAAAUAAAAACAGAACAUUCUGCAUCUCGUGCAAAAAUGGUUAGAGCAAAGAGGAGCUUCAGCAAUAGAGCAAAUAUUUGUAGAUGGAUAUUUUUGUUUGACUCAUUUACUACUACUCCCUUUAAUUUUCAAGACUACAUAUUCUGAAUCUACUAGUAGUGGUGGUGCUCAAUUUCCAGUUUAGGUCAAUGGUAGAUGUAGGUAGGUAAUUAAAUGUAGAAAAUUAGCUAGCCUACUCUCGUGGAAGUUUUCAAAAGACCACAGUGAUCACGCAAGGACUCUUGCCAGCAUGAACCAUGAAAGCUGUUGAAAAUAGAACAGUUCACAGGAGAGCAAGAAAAUUCUAAUGUAGCACAUAGGACCACACCUAGAAAGCCUAAUACACACACGUAUGCUACUUCCAAGGUAGAAACGACAAUCUAGCUUACAUGCUGCCUACAUUGUGUCUUAUAUCACGGUCUAAAUGAAACACACGAACAUGGUUACAUGUAUGAGUAGAGAGGGGAGACGGUUCAGCUGUACCAGAAGGGGCCCAGUGUCGGUGCAUGCGUCGCAAACAUGGCAGGGUCCUGUACAUGAUGAUGCAAACAAAGUCCUGCCAAUUUAUGGCGUAAUUACACAAGUCAACAACUGAAUCCCCAACUGUAUUUGCAUAUACUGCAGCAAACUAGAUUGACAUUAUUUUUUCUUUUUCGUUGAGGUUGUGAUUCAGUUAGGAAUCCAUGGGUGGCAGGAAUGCAAAGUGCAGGUAGCAGUAGUGUACAACUAGCUAGAAUAGGACUAGAAGGAGCAAAACCAAACCUUUUUCUGCUGGAUUUUGAGGCGUUGGAGGUGCAUCUCAGAUUCUCCUGCAGAAUAGCAGUGAGGAGGCUUCACCAAUAGAGCAAAACCAAGGACAGAACUUGCUUCUCCAGAUUAACAUUGGCCUUCACCACACACUCAUACUUGUCCUGCAAAUAAUGCCAUCAUGAGUUCAACAUCAGCUAUCCACCUGCCUUUCAAAUUAG